GUAGCCUUGCGCCUUCGAGGUUCUUCGGCACGUGCCGGAGCUAAGAAGGGAACGCGGUCCAAGCCGCGGCUGCCCCCGCAACUGUGAACGGUGCUGUUUCUGCAAGGCCACUGUGCAUGCCCUUUUAAAGGGGCGCACGGGAAGGCGCAGCAAUUGCCAGUCGAAAGAUUGGCCCGCCGUCAGCCAGGAGACCUGCCUCGAUACAGAUUCUCAC
rnacentral:ncRNA from 2 species